rnacentral:rRNA from 1 species
UACGGAGGGUGCGAGCGUUGUCCGGAAUCACUGGGCGUAAAGGGCGCGUAGGUGGCUACUCAAGCGCGCGGUGAAAGCCCGGGGCUUAACUCCGGGCCUGCAGUGGGUACGGGCAGACUAGAGUGCGGUAGGGGAGACUGGAAUUCCUGGUGUAGCGGUGAAAUGCGCAGAUAUCAGGAGGAACACCGGUGGCGAAGGCGGCAUCCUGGACCGAUACUGACGCUGAGGAGCGAAAGCCAGGGAGCAAACGGG